GACUAUGGCCAUACCACCCUGAACCAGCCCGAUCCCGUCUAAUCUCGGAAGCUAGGUAGGGUCGGGCCUAGUUAGUACUUGGAUGGGAGACCACCUAGGAAGACCAGGUGCUGUAGGCG
rnacentral:rRNA from 1 species